rnacentral:rRNA from 1 species
CGCGUAUAGAAUCUGCCUUCUACAGAGGGAUAGCCUUUAGAAAUGAAGAUUAAUACCUCAUAAUACUGAUUAGUAGCAUUACUUCUUAGUUAAAGAUUUAUCGGUAGAAGAUGACUAUGCGUCCUAUUAGCUAGAUGGUAAGGUAACGGCUUACCAUGGCAACGAUAGGUAGGGGUCCUGAGAGGGAGAUCCCCCACACUGGUACUGAGACACGGACCAGACUCCUACGGGAGGCAGCAGUGAGGAAUAUUGGGCAAUGGAGGCAACUCUGACCCAGCCAUGCCGCGUGCAGGAAGACUG